rnacentral:rRNA from 1 species
ACGAACGCUGGCGGCGUGUCUAAUACAUGCAAGUAGAACGCACAGUUUAUACCGUAGCUUGCUACACCAUAGACUGUGAGUUGCGAACGGGUGAGUAACGCGUAGGUAACCUGCCUGGUAGCGGGGGAUAACUAUUGGAAACGAUAGCUAAUACCGCAUAAUAUUAAUUAUUGCAUGAUAAUUAAUUGAAAGGUGCAAUUGCACCACUACCAGAUGGACCUGCGUUGUAUUAGCUAGUAGGUGAGGUAACGGCUCACCUAGGCGACGAUACAUAGCCGACCUGAGAGGGUGAUCGGCCACACUGGGACUGAGACACGGCCCAGACUCCUACGGGAGGCAGCAGUAGGGAAUCUUCGGCAAUGGACGAAAGUCUGACCGAGCAACGCCGCGUGAGUGAAGAAGGUUUUCGGAUCGUAAAGCUCUGUUGUAAGAGAAGAACGGGUGUGAGAGUGGAAAGUUCACACUGUGACGGUAUCUUACCAGAAAGGGACGGCUAACUACGUG